rnacentral:rRNA from 1 species
UGCCGGAAUGAGUAGCGAGAGGAAGGUGAGAAUCCUUCCGGCCGAAUAUCCAAGGAUUCCAGGGUAAAGCUGAUCUGCCCUGGGUAAGUCGGGACCUAAGGAGAGGCCGAGAGGCGUAUCCGAUGGACAACAGGUUUAGAUUCCUGUACCACAUAUGGUCAGAACUGUGGGGACGCAGAAGGAAAGCAUGAGCCAGGAAUGGAAAGACUGGUACAAGCAGAGGGGAUGGUGUGCUGGCAAAUCCGCACACGAAAGUCCUUGCUGUGAUGUGGAGCGAACCAAAGUAGCGAAGCAUGCGGACCGGCUGCCGAGAAAAGCCGCUAUUGUGCCAUAUGUGCCCGUACCGUAAACCGACACAGGUGGAUGAGGAGAGAAUCCUAAGGCCGACGGAAGAAGCAUUGUUAAGGAACUCGGCAAAAUGACCCCGUAACUUCGGGAGAAGGGGUGCCUGCGAGAGCAGGCCGCAGAGAAUAGGCUCAAGCAACUGUUUAGCAAAAACACAGGUCUAUGCGAAACCGAAAGGUGAGGUAUAUGGGCUGACGCCUGCCCGGUGCUGGAAGGUUAAGAGGAGAGGUUAGCGCAAGCGAAGCUUUGAAUUUAAGCCCCAGUAAACGGCGGCCGUAACUAUAACGGUCCUAAGGUAGCGAAAUUCCUUGUCGGGUAAGUUCCGACCCGCACGAAAGGCGUAAUGAUUUGAGCACUGUCUCGACAAUGCAUCCGGUGAAAUUGAAGUACCAGUGAAGAUGCUGGUUACCCGCGCCAGGACGGAAAGACCCCAUGGAGCUUUACUCCAGUUUGGUACUGGGAUUCGGUACUGCAUGUACAGGAUAGGUGGGAGACGAAGAAGUUAGGACGCCAGUCUUAACAGAGUCGCUGUUGGGAUACCACCCUUGCAGUAUUGGGUUUCUAACCAGCCGCUGUGAACCAGCGGUGGGACAAUGCCAGGCGGGGAGUUUGACUGGGGCGGUCGCCUCCGAAAGGGUAUCGGAGGCGCUCAAAGGUUCCCUCAGAAUGGUUGGAAACCAUUCGAAGAGUGCAAAGGCAGAAGGGAGCUUGACUGCGACACCGACGGGUGGAGCAGGUACGAAAGUAGGACUUAGUGAUCCGGUGGUAUAAAGUGGGAUUGCCAUCGCUCAACGGAUAAAAGCUACCCUGGGGAUAACAGGCUUAUCACUCCCAAGAGUUCACAUCGACGGAGUGGUUUGGCACCUCGAUGUCGGCUCAUCGCAUCCUGGGGCUGUAGCAGGUCCCAAGGGUUGGGCUGUUCGCCCAUUAAAGCGGUACGCGAGCUGGGUUCAGAACGUCGUGAGACAGUUCGGUCCCUAUCCGGCGCGGGCGUAGGAUAUCUGAGGGGAGCUGGCCUUAGUACGAGAGGACCGGGCUGGACGGACCACUGGUGCAUCAGCUGGAUACCAAAUCCAUAGCUGGGUAGCCAAGUCCGGAAGGGAUAAACGCUGAAGGCAUCUAAGCGUGAAGCCCCCCCCAAGAUGAGAUGUCCCUGUCUAUAAGACAGUAAGACCCCUGAAAGAGUAUCAGGUAGAUAGGGCAGAGGUGGAAGCACGGUAACGUGUGGAGCUGACUGUUACUAAUCGGUCGAGGGCUUGACCAA